rnacentral:rRNA from 1 species
AUUACCGAAGCUGUGGAUUGUCCUUUGGACAAUGGUAGGAGAGCGUUCUAAGGGCGUUGAAGCAUGAUCGUAAGGACAUGUGGAGCGCUUAGAAGUGAGAAUGCCGGUGUGAGUAGCGAAAGACGGGCGAGAAUCCCGUCCACCGAUUGACUAAGGUUUCCAGAGGAAGGCUCGUCCGCUCUGGGUUAGUCGGGUCCUAAGCUGAGGCCGACAGGCGUAGGCGAUGGAUAACAGG